rnacentral:misc_RNA from 1 species
GUGAAUCAUCAAAUUUUUGAACGCAUAUUGCACUCUCUGGUAUUCCGAAGAGUAUGCCUGUUUGAGAGUAAGUAAAAAGAAUCUUUAACCAAUUGUUUUGGUUAAAGGAGAUGAGUUCUCCGCGUUUAUAGCUUUAGCUUGAAAUAAAUGGUAGUCUCAUUUUAUUCGAAACGCGUAAUAAUAUUAUUUCACAAAAUCUUCAUUAUGUAACUAUCAUGUUUUGAUGCAUACUAAUAUGGUUUGUAUGCG